rnacentral:rRNA from 1 species
UAAGGAAUAUUGGUCAAUGGACGCAAGUCUGAACCAGCCAUGCCGCGUGGAGGAUGAAGGUCCUCUGGAUUGUAAACUUCUUUUGUCUGGGACGAAACACUUCUUUUCUAAGAGGCCUGACGGUACCAGAUGAAUAAGCACCGGCUAACUCCGUGCCAGCAGCCGCGGUAAUACGGAGGGUGCAAGCGUUAUCCGGAUUCACUGGGUUUAAAGGGUGCGUAGGUGGGUAUGUAAGUCAGUGGUGAAAUCCCCGAGCUUAACUUGGGAACUGCCAUUGAUACUAUAUAUCUUGAAUACCGUAGAGGUAAGCGGAAUAUGUCAUGUAGCGGUGAAAUGCUUAGAUAUGACAUGGAACACCAAUUGCGAAGGCAGCUUACUAUGCGGUGAUUGACACUGAGGCACGAAAGCGUGGGUAGCAAACA